UACGGAGGGUGCAAGCGUUAUCCGGAUUUACUGGGUUUAAAGGGUGCGUAGGUGGAUAAUUAAGUCAGUGGUGAAAUCUUCAGGCUUAACCUGGAAACUGCCAUUGAUACUAUUUAUCUUGAAUACUUUGGAGGUAAGCGGAAUAUGUCAUGUAGCGGUGAAAUGCUUAGAUAUGACAUAGAACACCAACUGCGAAGGCAGCUUACUACACAGUAAUUGACACUGAGGCACGAAAGCGUGGGGAUCAAACAGG
rnacentral:rRNA from 1 species